GGCCUGAGCCCGGCGGAGCCCUGCAGAGCCCGGCCGACCUCCAUGGGCUGCGGGGGGCUGCACCCGGACCCUUGGGGCGCGGCGCGCCCCUGAAUGCACCGUGGGAUGCAGGAGGUAGAGGCGCACGAGGCGGCGCAAGAGACGUUGGGAGGGUCCCGAGCCCUUCCGGGGAGGAACGCGGUCCUAGGCUGAGGUGCCAUGGCCUCCCGGCUCCUGCACCGGCUGCGGCACGCCUUGGCCGGCGACGGCCCCGGGGAGGCGGCGGCCAGUCCAGAGGCCGAGCAGUUUCCAGAGAGCUCAGAGCUGGAGGACGACGACGCCGAGGGCCUGUCCUCCCGACUCAGCGGCACCCUCAGCUUCACCAGCGCCGAGGACGACGAGGACGACGAGGACGAGGACGACGAGGAGGCUGGCCCUGACCCGCUGCCCCUCGGGGACGGGACGUCAGGAGAAGACGCAGAACGGAGCCCCCCACCUGAUGGGCAGCGGGGCAGUCAGCUCCUGGCACGGCAGCUGCAGGAUUUCUGGAAGAAGUCCCGGAACACCUUGGCACCCCA
rnacentral:sRNA from 1 species